ACGGGAGGCAGCAGUGGGGAAUAUUGCACAAUGGGGGAAACCCUGAUGCAGCGACGCCGCGUGAGCGAUGAAGUAUUUCGGUAUGUAAAGCUCUAUCAGCAGGGAAGAUAAUGACGGUACCUGACUAAGAAGCCCCGGCUAACUACGUGCCAGCAGCCGCGGUAAUACGUAGGGGGCAAGCGUUAUCCGGAUUUACUGGGUGUAAAGGGAGCGCAGGCGGUUUUUUAAGUCUGAUGUGAAAGCCCGUGGCUCAACUGCGGGACUGCAUUUGAAACUGGAGAACUAGAGUGUCGGAGGGGCAAGUGGAAUUCCUAGUGUAGCGGUGAAAAGCGUAGAUAUUAGGAGGAACACCAGUGGCGAAGGCGGCUUGCUGGACGAUAACUGACGCUGAGGCUCGAAAGCGUGGGGAGCAAACAGGAUUAGAUACCCUGGUA
rnacentral:rRNA from 1 species